GUAGGCGAACAUGUUUUCUAGUGCACGGUUUCAGCUAAAGUUUCGUGACUAGAUUACAUGCUCGUCUAUA
rnacentral:pre_miRNA from 1 species